GUGGGUGAGAGANAUGCUUGCAUGGCAUGCUACGCCCCCCCUUGGUGGCAUGCUAAUGACAAGCAUCCGGCCCGAUUUCUAGGUGUGCGUUGGAUCGAUGUCGUGCGUCCCGUUGCGGUUUUGUGUUGGUCCGCUGAUCGUCGAAGCUCAUCCCGUCGUUGUGCAGUAUCCUGCCUUGACCCAUGUGUAUGUCGGACGCGUAUGUGGCGAGUAGGGGAAAAUCGCGACAUAAUUUGCAGGUCCCGUCGUUGUGCAGUAUCCUACCUUGACCCAUGUGUCUUUCGGACACGUACAUGGCGAGUAGGGGAAAAUCGCGACUGGAUUUGCAGGUGCCGUCGUUGUGCAGUAUCCUGCCUUGACCCAUGUGACUGUCGGACGCGUACGUGGCGAGUAGGGGAAAAUCGCGACAAGGAUGUGCUGGGACGUUGACGCGGCUUGGACAGAGUUUGCUUUCGUGUCGUGCGACAUCGUGUUUAACGCGUUUCUCGUACCGUUCGGUGCAUUUCGGGAGCUUCUUCGUGCUUGUGGUUGUUUGCCUGGCUUUCUUGCUGGGUUUGUGGCUACUUGUGCGGGUCGUUUCAGGGAAUGAAUAUCGUAAAGGUGCAUGAGUGGUGUUUGGUGUGUUGCUGGUGGUUGGAUGACUGCAUUCGCAGCAACGUCCACUGGGGCAUGCCUCUUCAUUUACGGCGAACGGUUGAUUGUCAACCGGGAGCACUUGCCGGGUUUUCCUGUGCUGCGUACCUACUUUAGGGCAUGCUGUUGGUUGGUUAAUGUGGAUAUUCGUUCCGCGUCGCUCACGUGGCGUGGGACGAACUAGAACUGGCCCCUCUGUGAUCCAUGCCUCUGACGCACUUCGUCUUUGGCAUGGCCCAUUGUGCGUGGCUUGGUUUCUCGGAUACGGAACCUUAUGUGGGCAUGGGGUUGCUUGCGACCCCGAUUUUGCCCUCGUCAAGCGUUCUUGCCCCUAAAAAACAACACGCGGUCGUGCAUCGACUUGUUUGAU
rnacentral:misc_RNA from 1 species